CCCUGAGUGGUGUAAACAGUUAAUGUGUUUGGUUGCUAGCCAAAAAGUUGGUGGUUCAAGUCCACCCAGAGGUG
rnacentral:tRNA from 1 species